rnacentral:rRNA from 1 species
GUGAGGAAUAUUGGUCAAUGGGCGGAAGCCUGAACCAGCCAUCCCGCGUGCAGGAAGACGGCCCUAUGGGUUGUAAACUGCUUUUCCAGGGGGAGAAACUUUCCGAUGAAUCGGGAUUUGACGGUACCCUGGGAAUAAGCAUCGGCUAACUCCGUGCCAGCAGCCGCGGUAAUACGGAGGAUGCGAGCGUUAUCCGGAUUUAUUGGGUUUAAAGGGUGCGUAGGCGGAUCGAUAAGUCAGUGGUGAAAACCUGCAGCUUAACUGUAGACUUGCCGUUGAUACUGUUGGUCUCGAGUAUGGUCAAGGUAGGCGGAAUGUGUAAUGUAGCGGUGAAAUGCUUAGAUAUUACACAGAACACCGAUUGCGAAGGCAGCUUACUGGACCAUCACUGACGCUGAUGCACGAAAGCGUGGAGAUCGAACAG